rnacentral:rRNA from 1 species
CAGUCGCCACGGUAAUACAGAGGGUGCGAGCGUUAAUCGGAUUUACUGGGCGUAAAGCGUGCGUAGGCGGCUUUUUAAGUCGGAUGUGAAAUCCCUGAGCUUAACUCAGGAAUUGCAUUCGAUACUGGGAAGCUAGAGUAUGGGAGAGGAUGGUAGAAUUCCAGGUGUAGCGGUGAAAUGCGUAGAGAUCUGGAGGAAUACCGAUGGCGAAGGCAGCCAUCUGGCCUAAUACUGACGCUGAGGUACGAAAGCAUGGGGAGCAAACAGGAUUAGAUGCCCCCGUAGUCCCUGUCUCUUAUAC